GAUUCCUAGAGCUCUCCUUGCUCUUUUUUUUCUCCACUUCAUAGCUAUCCUUUUGGUUAACAGUGUCUGCCACACCCAGCGAUCUGAUUUGGAUGGAUUCUCAUGUUCAAUGCUAUCAAGUGUGUUCAUCUUGCAGCACAUGUCCUUUGUACCUCAGUAUUGCUAAUCAGAUCACAGAGGGAGAAACAGCUGUCCUAGAAGUUCUCAUAUGAAGGGGACAACACUGAUUGUGGGCAAUUCCUCAAUUUUGGAAUGUGGUGCUUUCCACGAUUACCGUAUUCCUGUCUGAAAUCCUGACACAAGAAAACUGCAGCCAGCCUCUCCCCAAAGAAGCACCUGAACAGACAGCACGUCUCUGUCACUCUCACCUGGUCUUAUGGUCCAUUAGGUCCAGUCAAGUUCUGUUACGUCUGAGGACCAGCCCAUCUUUAAGGAGAACUUCACUGGUCUGAAGAAAAUGCCAAAUGAGGGCUUUCUUCUGCACCCAGGUUUCUAGAGAACUUGAUGUUUUCUAGGUAUUCUGUAGAUAUAGAUAUAUAUUUUGCUUCUGAGGGAUCUGUUUAGAAAGCGUGAUGGACUUGUUGAGUAAAGACUGACAUUUCUUUACUUCAGCAUUUUGUCAUUUUUUUUUGCUUCAUGAAUAAAAUAGUACAUCAUUAGCUUGACACAGUAAAAUGAACACAAAGCAAAGAAAACAAAUCCUUUUGGUAGCAGAUCUUCCAAGCUGACUAGUGCUGCUUUGUGCCCAACCUCACCUGGCUGAUGUGCCCUCUUUCACAGCUGUCUCAGCUGCAGCGGUCUGCGACAGGAACACACCUUGGCAGGACUGAGAAGUGAAGAACUUUAAAGUCUGACUGCAGGAGAGCAGCCUGUUGCAUGAGGUCACACGACAUUCUCUGUGACAUCGGUGUCAACUGAAAUCAAGGUGGAAGGAAAGUUUGUGGUGUGUGUUUUUUUGUUUUUUUGGUUUUUUUAAAAAAAAAGCUGGACUCUCUAAGAAUGGACUAAUUCAUCUUUCCUCAAUUCUACUGGCAAUGGUAGGACUGUAGUGGUGAACCAUGACAGGAUGGGAAUAAGAAAAUUGUAUUGCAAAUAAAAGCAUUUAAAUCUA